GAUUUUAUCACAAUCCAAUUAAUGACCGUAUAUUUAUAAUACUAAUUUCUUAACCUUAAAAUUAAAUCUGUCAAGUGUUUAAAGUACUUUAGUCAUUCAAUAUUUUGUAAAUAUAAAAAUAAUCAUUAUAAAAUUGAACGGUUAUAUCAAAGAACGAAUUAUUAGAAGAAAAAAUUGCUAAGCAAUUAAAAAAAUAAAAAAGAGUUACAAGCUAGU